rnacentral:rRNA from 1 species
GAUGAACGCUAGCGGCAGGCUUAACACAUGCAAGUCGAGGGGCAGCACAGGUGGCAACACCGGGUGGCGACCGGCGUAAGGGUGCGUAACACGUGAGCAACAUACCCGUAUCUGGAGGAUAACCGGAGGAAACUCUGCCUAAUACUCCAUAAUAUCAUCGUACGGCAUCGUUUGGUGAUUAAAGAUUUAUCGGACACGGAUUGGCUCGCGGGACAUUAGCUUGUUGGUGGGGUAACGGCUCACCAAGGCCACGAUGUCUAGGGGUUCUGAGAGGAAGGUCCCCCACACUGGAACUGAGACACGGUCCAGACUCCGUACGGGAGGCAGCAGUGAGGAAUAUUGGACAAUGGAUGGAAAUCUGAUCCAGCCAUGCCGCGUGCAGGAAGGCGGCCCUAUGGGUUGUAAACUUGCUUUUGUACGGGAGCAAUAAGGUCUACGAGUAGAUUGAUGAGAGUACUGUACGAAUAAGCAUCGGCUAACUCCGUGCC